UGGGGAUUUUUGCACAAUGGGGGAAACCACGAUGCAGCGACGCCGCGUGAUUUAGAAGGCCUUCGGGUUGUAAAAAUCUUUUCUAUGGGAAGAAAAUGACAGUACCAUAGGAAUAAGGACCGGCCAAUUACGUGCCAGCAGCCGCGGGAAUACGUAAGGUCCGAGCGUUGUCCGGAAUCAUUGGGCGUAAAGGGUACGUAGGCGGGUAAGCAAGUUAGAAGUGAAAUCCUAUAGCUCAACUAUAGUAAGCUUUUCAAACUGCUCAUCUUGGGGUAUGGAAGGGAAAGUGGAAUUCCUAGUGGAGCGGUGAAAUGCGCAGAAAAUAGGGGGAAUACCGGUGGCGAAGGGGACUUUCUUGCCAUAACCUGACGCUGGGGUACGAAAGCGUAGGUAGCAAACAGG
rnacentral:rRNA from 1 species